UCACGAAGUGAUUUCUUUGCUAGACUAUCAGCCAGAGAGUUGCUAGAUCGAGGAAUAUAGAAGAAACAAACAGAUCUAAAUUGAGAAGAAAGAUUUUUUUUAUGUCAUGGAGUAGUCCGUAGAGCUCCUUGAUUUGCACGUCGUUUGUGAUCGCGUUGAUGAGAGUCUGCGAGUCAGAAGUGAGAGCUAUUUUCCGGUAUUCCAAUCGGAGGGCAUCUCUCAACGCCGAUAAGAGUGCAAGAGUCUCUCUAAUCAUAGGAGAGGCAACAAAGGGUUUGAUUCCGUGCCUUAUCCGAUGCGGCGGUUCUGUUUCUUAAAAACCCAUCCCGAUCUCGACAUAUGGAUGUAAUUCCUCCAGGCCGCAUCCGUGAUGAUGCUAAUCCUGUCUCCCGGAACGGAAGGUGGUCUCAAGAGCGGUUCACUGGAUCGAUUCUCCAGGAGUAAAUUGCGUGAGCACCAGAGUUGCCAACAAAUCCAUGGGAAGAGGGGUUCCGGGCCAAAACCAUUGGGUGGGAGGCAGAUUAGCUUCUUCCCAUGGAUGAAUCCUGAAGUGAAGUCAUUGAAGAGGGCAAGAUCGAAGUUUUCAGUGAAGGGUGCUAUCUCCCAUAAGCUUCUUGCGAAGGGGCAGUGAGGGAAGAGAUGUUGUGCCGUUUCAGAGUCUCCGCAUCUAGGACAAGAAGAAGAUGCUUGCACUCCCCUCCUCAAAAAUAUUUUACCUAGAGGUGCAUUGCGGUUGGUAGCGUUUAUUGCAGCAUGGUAGCCGGAUUUGACAGAGUAGUCACCUGAUGGAUUAAGCAGCCAAUGUACUUGUCUUCAAGAUCCGAUGAGCUUGGUUGGAUGCUGAGGAUUUGCGAUUUGU